AGUAAGGAAUAUUGGUCAAUGGACGAAAGUCUGAACCAGCUAUGCCGCGUGGAGGAUGAAGGCCCUCUGGGUUGUAAACUUCUUUUAUAUGGGACGAAAAAGGGCCUUUCUAGGCCAACUGACGGUACCAUGUGAAUAAGCACCGGCUAACUCCGUGCCAGCAGCCGCGGUAAUACGGAGGGUGCAAGCGUUAUCCGGAUUCACUGGGUUUAAAGGGUGCGUAGGUGGGUUGGUAAGUCAGUGGUGAAAUCCCCGAGCUUAACUUGGGAACUGCCAUUGAUACUAUCAGUCUUGAAUACCGUGGAGGUCAGCGGAAUAUGUCAUGUAGCGGUGAAAUGCUUAGAUAUGACAUAGAACACCAAUUGCGAAGGCAGCUGGCUACGCGAAUAUUGACACUGAGGCACGAAAGCGUGGGGAUCAAA
rnacentral:rRNA from 1 species